AUGACCUUUGAAAUCGACUGUUUUUGUCUCCUCGAGAGCACUGCAUUGAUAAUGAUUCAGAGUUCUCCCGAAUCAUCGUAUCCCUCAUUGAACAGUUCACUAUUGAAGAGGUUUCUGCUUUGGUAUUUAUUAACGUCUUCUAGCAGUUCAAAGAGCUUUACAGACAUCGUCACACCCUUCUCAGAACUACCAAAUAACAGCAAGUUGUACUUUUAUUGUCAAAUAUGGGGAUGAAAACACAGGUUACGUUGUUGGAUAAUUGCAGAGAAUGAGGCAUCAAGGAAGCCAAGAGUGGAUCAGGAAGGAGGUCAAUAGGGUGGAAAUCUGCUGAGCCAUUCUAGAAGGCAAGAACUGCAAACCACUCUCCUGACUGAGUAACAGGAUGCUGAGGGUAAAACAGGAAUAAAGCAGUCACUGCACACA
rnacentral:lncRNA from 12 species